AUGGGCCACCCCACAUGUGUGGCUGUAUGUCAUAAGGCAUUACAUCACAGCAGUAAAGGGAAUUGUGGAUGAAAAUAUCAGUGAGGCAGUCAUAGUCUCUGUGUUUGCACAUGUUUGUCAUGUGAUGACCUUUAUACCUGCUGACUGCAUGGAUCAACUAUUUGUCCUGACUCUGGACUUGGUGACCAGGCCAACAGUGUCAAACAGUAAUAUCAGAGAGCAGCUGAAGAGUUCAGUCAACAUUUUAUCAUCUGAAGUACACAGGGCAGCAUUGACUCAAAAACUAAAUCAAAAUUUGCAGACUAUUGCUGGCAUAGUAUAAAAUGUAGGCAUUGAAAUGGAAUCAAAAAUGACAACUGUGGACACCCAGUGACACUCUUUUCUCACUUUGUUUUAUUUUCUUAGUCACUGAUAUGGAACUGAGUGAGCCAAGAAAUGCCAUUAAAAUCGCAUAAUGCUCUUUAACUUGCAAACUGCUUUUCUUUGGUCGAAAUACUAUGAAUCAACUUGAAGCACCAGCCAGAUGUUAAAGUUAAAUAAUCAAAGCCCAGAAUGCCACCACAGCAUAGAUAGAAUAAAAAUAUAAAUGAUAACAAUGUAUAAACAGCAGUUUACAGAUUUCUGAGUAAAUAAUUGUUUAUAAGUGCAUAUUAUAAAUAAAGUUAUUACAAACAAAGGGAGACAGGUAAUAAGAAAUGAUACUGAGAACAAGACACUGAUUCCAUUUAAAUAUGACUUCAUGUUAAACAAGAAUUAUUUAAUGUACAAUAACUUUAAAAAACCUGUAUUUGUGAUGUACUUGGAAUCCGGCCAUAGUCAUGACAAGUAACACACCACGUUGGUGAUGGAUUCUUGUGUAAAGAUGUGGUCAGUGCUCUUGUUGAAGUUAAUUCCGUGGUAGAAGUACCUGGUAUUGGAGACUUCUACAGUGAAAAGGAAAUCAGUGCCUUGUCGAGGCCUAUGCUAGGAAGAAACCUCGGGAAAAGCUGCACAUAAUGAGUGUUACUUACCUGAAGUUCAACUGGUUAUGUCUUCAAAUUGAUCCAAAGCCCAGCAGUUCUAACCUCAAUAGUACAGCUACCUCCAGGUCAAGAGGGUCCAUAAGUCACUCACUCACUCGUGCCAUUGCCCAUUACACCUUGGUGGCAGGUAGGGCAGCAACAUAAUCCUUCCACAUCUGCUGGUCCUUUGCCAUGACUUGAACGCCCCGUCAGGUCUUUCCCCUCUGCUUCAUUUCCUUUUGCCUUGCUGUCCCUCUGGCAUCCAGUGUAGGGUGGUCUUGAUGAUGGACACUUCUUGGUGGGUGACAUGGCCAAUCCAUCUCCAACACGUUCUCAUCAGAAUGGUAGCCAUGGAUUUAAGAGCAUAAGUGAUUUACAAAGGAAUUCAUCUACAUAGCUAAUUUGUUCCAGGACACAGAAAGACUGUCAGUUUAGAGGCUAAUUUGAAAAGAAUCCUUACAAAUGGCUGAAUUUUUCGCAGUUUCAACUCGGUUUCGGAGGAAACUUUUGCAAGUUCAAAGUGGGAGCUGAAGCCAAUGCAUUAGUGUGGUACACAAGGAGAAGCCACGAAAGUGAAACGUAAUUAUAAGGUCCCACAGAAUCUUACGACGUUUGAAGAAAGUGAAGAACAACAAAGCUAACGGAACCUUAGAGGACUAAAUUAAAUUUAAACUUUGUUAUGGAAGAAGAAAAGAAAGGAAAAAAUGUAUUUGAUUUAAAUUUUGAGUACGAGAUCGAAUACGGGUACGACUUUUCAAUUCUAGUUUGCAGCUUUCACCUUAUAACAUGACAUUCCUAUCUCCUCCCACGAGUUACUCUGGCUACCUAAAACCAACAAGAAGAGCGCGAGCUCUGAUCUGGAAACAUCAGUGGUUUGAAUUCGGACAUUUCACUCGUACUUAAUCUCGUUCUCGUACUGCAAUGAAUGAGGCAUUUUUGUGUCUCUUUUACAUAGUAACGACAGUAACAAUGUUGACAAUGCUUACACUCUCACUAUCAAAUGUAUGCAAAUUUGAACGCGAACCACAUUCUGUUACCUUUUUUGUUAAAGAAAAUACAACUGCAAAAAUGGAUGUCAGCUUUUCUGUUUGGAUUUAUUCCUACGCGGAUAGCCAUCUAAAGUUGAUGGCAUUUAAUAGUACAUCGACCAAAGCAUACCGCGCGAAAGCCUUUAGGCUUCUUGUUGAAUUUCGUAUUUUUUGGAAAACUAGAUAUUUCGUUAAUAUAUUUAAACUGAUAAACGUUACCAAUAUAUCACUCUUAGUGUUUGAAUCCAACUUUUUUAACUCAAAAGUAAUAAAAGAGUUUUAUAAAUGUUGAUAUUACACUUCGUAUGGCAACACUUUGAAAGUUCAUAAGUGCAUGAACAUUGUCGCUUACGGAAAAGUCAAUAAGUAAACGUUAUCAACUUUUCAUUUUGUAUUUGAUUUUUUAUUGACGGACUUUUGGGCAGAAAUUUUAUUAUGCAGAGAGGUUCCAGGGAUGUAUUUAGGUCUCGAUACAGGUAAAAGAAUUCCUUGUGUAAUUUUUGAAGAGAGUAGAUUCGUGUUUAAUUAUUUUUGUAGGUCAAAGUUAAACUAUCCUAAAGUUUUGUAAACUAGACGUUAAGUUUAAUCGCUUCAUCUUCACAAUGAAACUUUACGUUUGUUAGAUUUGACUCUGAUGACGAUCGACUUCUUUCCACAAGGUCAUCAGUUUCGGAAUAAGGCUUUGUUAUGUCGAAGACAAACGGACUGCCUUAAUUCCAUAACGAUCACUGUGUAAAAUGACAAAAAAUUGCAAUCUUGCAAAGAUGAACAAUACAUGGAACGCCUGUCUGGCCUCAGGACUUCAGCGACCUUGUUUCCUUGACUCCUGGACUCUACAGCUGUAUAGCAAGACAAUUCUUUCCUUAAAAGACAUACUGUACACAUUUUAUAAUAGCACCAUUUACAAGGUUUUUUUCUCCAUAAUACAACAUAGCAUUUUCAAACUUUCACGAUAAAAAAAGACAUUAAACAAAGUGACUUUAAGUUAGCCCUACUAAGCUGAUUAUCCUUGGUAUCAAUGCGUUUCCUUGGCAACGCUCAACAAACCUUAUGGUUUGGUCGUGAUUUGUUAUUUUUCUUUUUUUUCCCCCUAUAUUGUUAUUUCAUUUUCUGUGCCUGAACGUACUGAUAGAGAACUUGCCGUUUGAUAACAGCAGAUGAUAUUUGUUGAACCGAGCUAGGGGUAAUCCUAAAAGAUACGCAGUCACAGUAGCGUUCUUCGCACUAAAAAGAGAGAAGUGACCUUACCCGAAAAUUAACCGCUAUCCUCGGUCAUAUCACACGGCAAAUAAAAAACCACUUGGCUCCGGGGAUAAAAACUGAGUGUAUCACGCUGAUGAGAUGA
rnacentral:lncRNA from 1 species